rnacentral:tRNA from 2 species
GGUGGAGCAGUACGGUAGCUCGUCGGGCUCAUAACCCGAAGGUCGCAGGUUCAAAUCCUGUCC